ensembl:lncRNA
AUUUUCCAUUAGUAGGUUUAUUGCUCUCAAGUGUUAGAAAUGUAUCAGACUAACCUGCCACUGUCAGCAUUUUCCUGAAUAUCAGUUAUGCAACUUCACAAGCUAACACAUAACCCUGUCAACUAAAAUGCAUUAUAGACAAGACCUACGCAACUGUAGUGGAAGAUGCAGUCUCCAAUUUAGAAAGAAAUAAAACCAUUUAUAUACAUACUGCAGAUGCUGAACAUGCUGAGUACAGCAGUGUUCACAGUUUCAAUAGCAUGUGUAAGGAAAUAAUAAUAAAAAAAAUUGUCUAUUCUUAGUAGUUUUAAAUGGUGUUUAAGACAGAUGUGCUCCCUACAUGUGAAUAUUUUAGAUGCUUCAAGAGAUUUGCUUUUCAAAAGAAAGAAGAGAUAAUUGGGAGAGAACGACCACAGUCAGCCUCUUUCCAAUGUCAUUGUCAGUUUGAGACAAGAUAUACUUUGGAAAACAAUAUUAAAAACAGUAAGCUCCUCCACAUUGUUGGCAGUUCAGUACAAAAAGCUUCUUUUCACCACUCCAGAAGAAAAGAACACUUUUUAACCAUUUCUCACCCUUUCUGGGGGGGUGAGGGGAGACAGCGGAGCAGGCAUGUCCAUGCCUGAGUGUACAAAAUAUACAUAAUCUUUUAAUUUAAAAAGAAACACUAGAGGGUGAAGGGCAGGGGAUCCUCAGUGGACAUGUCCACCCAUUCUUCCACUUGGGAAUUAACAUUACUAUUUAUUCCACAAAUCCAAACCACAAAUAAAAUCCAGCAGGGAAAUAGGAAAGCAGCCAUGCCAGUGAUAACUGCUCAAUGCAAGAAAUUAAAUAUGUGCAUUCACAUGAAUGCACCAUUUCAUGAAUUGUCCAGAUCUACUUACAAAACACGAGAGACUCUCCCAUUAACACUGCUCAAAGAUUACUGGCAAUAAAUAAGUGAGAGCUAAGCAAAGUUAAAAUAAAGGACUGGAUGUCUGAAAAGACAGUGGGUUUGACACUUUAAAAUGCCAGGCACUUUUGUUCCAACCCUUCUAGUCCCAGAGUUAGCAUAACCAAAAAUUGUAAAACUUAAUAGAAUUGGGGUCCCAGUAUCUAGCACCUUGGAGUAAUAACCCCUGUGAUAGGAAAGUUGCACUGAAUAUCAUAUGAUAAAGAAAACUAAUCAUUCUAAGCCUGAAAAGUUUAUUACAUCUCUUCACCCAGUUCACAGUGGUCAACAAAUAGUGCUCAUGCAACAACUGUCCUGUCAUAGGGAUUGAAGGAGACAGUGUGCUUUGAACCACCAGCAAGGGUCACCAUUAGAAAUAAAAUUCUAGGCUCCGUAGCUAAAUGUUUUUAUCUCUUGUGGAAAGUCCCAUGCCCAAUGGAGUGCUUUAUAAAUAGACUAAGCAAUGAUUAAUGCUAUCUGUUUUAAACAAGUCAGACAACUUAUUCAUUCCUAGAUAGAUUUGGUAUCCAGUCUCAUUAAUUUGCUAAAAAAUUAUGAGUGAAGAUAAAAAUCUUAAAAUUCAAAUAAAGCAAGUUUUUGUACAUGCUCUACAGAUCACAUGUAGAACAAUGUAAAUAACUUCUUGUCAUUAUUUAUAAAGUUUGGAUUAAUCUUCCAAAGCAGAAUUAAUGAUGCUAGCAUGCAUCAGAAACACACCUACAACUUUAUUUCUUCAUCAAAGACAGUUCUAUUAUUUUUUUUUUUAUUUAGACACAACAGUAUUAAUAAAAUAUAUGUAUGCUACUUCUUCUACAAAUAUAGAAACUACUUAAAAGAACUUUGCAGGCUACAAUUGUAGGCAUUUCUCACUCUAAUUGAGGAAUAAGUAUAGCAGGACAAUUUAAUAACAAUAACCAGUAAUGGUACCAUCUGCAUUCUUCCAUCUUAGUCUGCCAUGGUGUAACUUCUAGAAUAGUUAAUUAGACAAAAAGUUGUGGGGUUUUGUUUUGUUUUGCUUUUUGUUAAUUCAGUUAGAGAUAGCUAUAAAUUUACUGUUUCACAGGCACUUCUGUUCUUAUUUCUCACUAAUACAAAUGCUCCUCUUAUCUUCUUCUAAUAAUAGCCUGACCACUGUCUGCAUUUCAGACAGCUCUUUUAGACAGGGGACAAAUGACAUACUGGCUCUCUCGCUAUGAUUUUUUUUUUUGCUAAACAAUAUGAACAGUCUUGUUGCUACAGAAAGUAUACAGCAUGCUAAAUAGCUGUGUGUCUUCCUCCCUCCAAAGAUCUACCGGUAUUUUUAUGUAGGAAAAUAAAUCAUGGACAAAGUGUGCUUUAUGUGCCAGAAUCUAAAGAUUCAGUUUGAAGGAGGAGAGCCAAAGACAAUCAGCAAAUACUUUCACAAAACAUAGUUUUGGGAGAAAGUUUUAAAGAGGAUACUAACUUUUAUUAAACUGAAGAUGCUGACAAAUUUAUUGACCACAUUGCUGUCCAAAUAACAGCUACAUGGCUGCAUCUCAUCAGACAUCAUCUUGCAGUUGUACCUCUUAAAUUAUCAACCCCCAGAUAAUGUUAGUAACUCUCAGUUCUCCUUUUCUCCUUGAAGCCGAUGCAAAGACCUUCACUCUUGUUUUUAUGCUCUAAUCUUUUACACUGGAAGGGAAUUUUCAGUUCUCUACCAGUGUUCAACAAACUGCUGGUUGUAGCCCUUUUCAGUUCAAGAAAGACUCUUAAUUCUGCUGCUAUUUAAAAUGGCAAGCAACACUUCUUUCACCUUGGAUUCCAGGCAUGUUCAAACCGUGUCCUUCAGGGUGCAUGUGGCCUACCACAGCUCACAGUUCAGCUCACCUUCUUCCUGUAAUUUAAAGGUGGCAAGCAACCUUGGGCACACAUCCACAUUAUUAACACUGCAUUGACUGAAAGCAGGGCACUGGGAGGGCAGCACUGAGCAGUGCUGACUGAAGUAAUGGCAAAUAACUGUGUGCAUGUUGACACUUGGCUAAACACAAGGCUAUGAACAGAGAUGAAUAUGUAGCCAUGAUUUCCAUGUUGUGAACGGUUUAUGGGCUGGUUCAGCCCGGUUCCAUGACUGGCGAGGCAGAGGGAUUUUGCAAAAUCUGCGCCUCCGGAAAAGGGAAACAGUGGACCCCAAGAUAAUUAAAAACAGUGGCAAUGAUCUGAGGAGAAACAAAUUUACUAAAUACGGUAUCGGAAUGCAAGAUAACAUACUGUAAUACAAUAUAAUUAGAAUUGAAGCUAAUAAAUCAAAUAUAAUGAGAGAAAGAGUAUCUGAAAG